rnacentral:rRNA from 1 species
AACGAACGCUGGCGGCAUGCCUAAUACAUGCAAGUCGAACGAGCCGUUCGGGUCUUGUCUCGCACGAGUGCGUAACGCGAGGGAACCUGCCCUUAGGUUCGGAAUAACUACCCGACUGGGGUGCUAAGACCGGAAAAUGUCUUCGGACCAAAGAUUUAUCGCCUUUGGGUGGUCCAGCGUUGGAUUAGCUAGUUGGUAGGGUAAAAGCUUACCAAGGCGACGAUGCAUAACUGGUCUGAGAGGAUGGUCAGCCACACUGGGACUGGGACACGGCCGGGACUCUUACGGGAGGCAGCAAUGGUGAAUGUUGGACGACGGGCGAAAGCAUGAUGCAGUAAGGCCGCGAAAGUGAUGUAGGCCUGAAGGUUGUAAGGCUCUUUUACCCGUGAUGAUAAUGACAGUACCUUAAGAGUAAGCGCCGGCUAACUACGUG